GAAAUGCGAUAAGUAAUGUGAAUUGCAGAAUUCAGUGAAUCAUCGAAUCUUUGAACGCACAUUGCGCCCGCCAGCAUUCUGGCGGGCAUGCCUGUUCGAGCGUCAUUUCAACCCUCGAGCUCCCUUUGGGGAGCCCGGCGUUGGGGACCGGCCUCUACCGCCGGCCCCGAAAUGAAGUGGCGGCCCGUCCGCGGCGACCUCUGCGUAGUAACUCACCUCGCACCGGAACCCCGACGUGGCCACGCCGUAAAACACCCAACUUUCUGAACGUUGACCUCGAAUCAGGUAGGAAUACCCGCUGAACUUAAGC
rnacentral:misc_RNA from 1 species